UACGUAGGGAGCAAGCGUUGUCCGGAAUCAUUGGGCGUAAAGCGCGCGUAGGCGGCCCUGUAAGUCCGUUGUGAAAGUCAAAGGCUCAACCUUUGAAAGCCGAUGGAUACUGCAGGGCUAGAGUCCGGAAGAGGCGAGUGGAAUUCCUGGUGUAGCGGUGGAAUGCGCAGAUAUCAGGAGGAACACCUGUGGCGAAAGCGGCUCACUGGACCACAACUGACGCUGAGGCGCGAAAGCUAGGGGAGCAAACAGG
rnacentral:rRNA from 1 species